CAAAGACCAUUUUGGAAUCCGUGUCAGUUUUUAUAGGGACAUAUAAAUGCAAAUUAACCUCAUGCAUUUCAUGGGCGAGCUUUUACAUCUUUCUAAAGCACACGGAAGCCCAUACAUGAACCUGCCGGUGACUUGUUACCCCGUUACACUAAAGUCGAUGUGAGCAAGCUUGGGUGCUGGUAAGGCUGCUCCUCGUGCAUCAUCACGGUGUCCUGUCUCUAUCACACACAUAGACGCGACACUGUCAGGACAACAGAGAACCCUUUAUAGCAUUAGGAUCCAAAUAUAUGACAGGCCAUUGACUUUUAAAAGCAGUCACAGCAAUUUUCAAACAUACACAAAAGCCUUUUGAUGCAGUCCAUCUACCCACAGCCAGCUUUAACUCUUACCAACCCGCAGCCGCCGCCGCUCCUGGGUUGAUCCCCUUUACCCUCUCAUGCUGAGUUAUCUUAAACAUAUCCACGGCGGCUUACCAUUUUAUUAGAAAAAUAUCUCAUGGUCGUUUUCUGAGAGAACCCAGGUUUUUUAAUCUCUGCAAUGUCACUAUCACAUCCAAACAAGAUUGACAAUUGUUACUUAAAAUCGAGCUGUCAGUGUGUGACUGACAGUGAUCGUCUCAUCAAUACCCUUGGUGAUUGCUUUGUGAAAAUAGAGUGCAAGUAAUUUUAUAUGCUGCCUUUCACCGGCAUACGCCUUAAGACGAUUUCAACUCUAAAGAUCUCUUGCUUCUCUCUUUUAAAGUACGCUUUUAAUAUUCAGCUUCUUUGUUGAACGGGCCAGCUUUAAUUUUCACAGU
rnacentral:lncRNA from 1 species